AUUGAACGCUGGCGGCAUGCCUAACACAUGCAAGUCGAACGGCAGCACAGCAGUAGCAAUACUGUGGGUGGCGAGUGGCGGACGGGUGAGUAAUGCAUCGGGACCUACCUGAACGUGGGGGAUAACGUAGGGAAACUUACGCUAAUACCGCAUACGUCCUACGGGAGAAAGCGGGGGACCUUCGGGCCUCGCGCGGUCAGACGGACCGAUGUUCGAUUAGCUAGUUGGUAAGGUAACGGCUUACCAAGGCGACGAUCGAUAGCUGGUCUGAGAGGAUGAUCAGCCACACUGGAACUGAGACACGGUCCAGACUCCUACGGGAGGCAGCAGUGGGGAAUAUUGGACAAUGGGCGCAAGCCUGAUCCAGCAAUGCCGCGUGUGUGAAGAAGGCCUUCGGGUUGUAAAGCACUUUUAUCAGGAGCGAAAUACUACCGGUUAAUAACCGGUGGGGCUGACGGUACCUGAGGAAUAAGCACCGGCUAACUUCGUGC
rnacentral:rRNA from 1 species